UCAUUUCUGGGAAACNGAAACUUAGGCCUA
rnacentral:piRNA from 1 species